rnacentral:rRNA from 1 species
AACGAACGCUGGCGGCAGGCUUAACACAUGCAAGUCGAACGCCCCGCAAGGGGAGUGGCAGACGGGUGAGUAACGCGUGGGAAUCUACCCAGUUCUACGGAACAACUGAGGGAAACUUCAGCUAAUACCGUAUACGCCCUACGGGGGAAAGAUUUAUCGGAAUUGGAUGAGCCCGCGUUGGAUUAGCUAGUUGGUGAGGUAACGGCUCACCAAGGCGACGAUCCAUAGCUGGUCUGAGAGGAUGAUCAGCCACACUGGGACUGAGACACGGCCCAGACUCCUACGGGAGGCAGCAGUGGGGAAUAUUGGACAAUGGGCGCAAGCCUGAUCCAGCCAUGCCGCGUGAGUGAUGAAGGCCUUAGGGUUGUAAAGCUCUUUCAGUGGGGACGAUAAUGACGGUACCCACAGAAGAAGCCCCGGCUAACUUCGUGCCAGCAGCCGCCGUAAGAC